rnacentral:pre_miRNA from 1 species
UGGUGGAUUACUGGGUGAACUCUCCUUUGGCAGAUGGAAGAAGAUGCAACCCGAAUUCUUGCUGCCAAAGGAGAAUUGCCCAGCAAUCCUAAU